rnacentral:tRNA from 1 species
CGCGGGGUGGAGCAGCCUGGUAGCUCGUCGGGCUCAUAACCCGAAGGCAGUCGGUUCAAAUCCGGCCCCCGCAACCA